GAUGAUUUAAUUGCCUUUUGUUGUGUUUUGUGAGGUCAUAUUAUAUAAGAUUGCUUUAUAUAUAUAUAGAAAGAGAGAGAGAGAGAGAGUUGAGCUUCUGUGCUUUUAAAAGUACAGAAAUAUCUGUGCUGCACGAUCUUGAAACGAUUCUACGGCUAAAAAAUUAUAAGCACCGAUAGUUGUUAUACUUUCAAAAGCACGAGAGCUCUACUACAUAUGUAUAAAUAUAAAUAUGGGCCAUUCUUACUAGGAGGUUGGUGAUGUGAGCUAAGAAGAAAAACAAGGGAGUUGUUGUUUUCAUGUAUUAUUGCUAAGGCUUCUUCUAGAGAGAGAACAAGAGAAGUUUGGAGAGGGUUGCAUUGUUGUGCAUGUUUGAUUGGGCUUAAGCUUUGAAGCUUCCUCCUUCAAUUGGUCCAUCCAAAGAAGGGGCAACACUUUGUGAUGAAUUAUUCUAUUAAUUACUAUAUUAAUUAGUUGGGUCCCACUUAGAGCCAUUUAGGUAUCGUAGUCCUC
rnacentral:lncRNA from 1 species